UUUUCAACAUCUUCUCUCUUAUUUCUACGUAUAUCUUAUUUCUAUGGAUUCCAUGUUUGGUAUUAGAGGGCACAAUUUUCUAUUGCAUUUUUUUUUUUUGGAGAAAAUUCAAUUAUCGGUAUUGAGUUUGCUUUCAAUUACUGUGUCAAUAUUUGAUAUCUGAUAUUCAGUUUCAAUAUUUGUUUGAUUUCAAAUUCGUUUUCACCCCUUCUCAAAUCAUGUUCUUGAGUUUUAAGAUCAAUAGUGUUUGUUGAAUUUUUUAUUAUUGAUCCAAUUUUCUCUUAAGCUGAUUUUCCCAAUUCCGAUUUGAGAUUGUGUUUGCUUUAGUCUAUAUUGGAUUUCAUUUUCGCAAUCCCGCCGAUUCGGUUGCGUUGUCUUUCCAUUUGGAAUGUGUUUUUGAUCUGAGGUUUGAUUUCGUUUUCGACACAAAUCUCGCCAUUUUUUAUUUGAAUUGUAAUUUUCAAUUUCGAUUCCAUUUUUCAGUUCAUUUACAUUUUCCAGCUUCACAUGUGAUCUACAUCUCUAUCAUUUUGUUUGAUACUCAAUCGCCUCCGCGAUGGUUCCAAUUUUGACUCGGUUACUUCUAAUUUCCUGUGAGGUGGAUUUGCUAUGAAGUUGUUGAUGCAUUCUCGUGUUAUUUUUUCACGAUGAUUAGUUAAAUUCUGAUAUGAAGACAAAGCUGCAUUUGGCUUGUGCACUUCAGUUUUUUGCUUCAAAUUUGGCACUCUUGGAUUUUCAUAGUGAAUUUGUGUUGGAUCUAGAGAUUUGUUAGUGCUCUCAAGGUGUUUGUGAAAAAUUCUCAAUGAAGACAUAUUUUCACUCGUUGGUUUGAAGCCUCACGUUGUUGAUUGAUAUUUUGUAUGGUGCAUUCAAUGUAAAUUUUAUUCUAAUUGCAUAUAGUAUAAAGUUUAGAUAUAGACCAUAGAUAUAUUUGUGAAUAUCAGAUGUAUUGCAUACUCUACUAUCCAAUUCAUGCCGAUUGGAUGCCUUUGUGUUUGUUUCAGAAAAAAUAGGAAAAGUAUGUCGACAGAACUUUCAC
rnacentral:lncRNA from 1 species